UCGACUCCAUGAAGUCGGAAUCGCUAGUAAUCGUGGAUCAGAAUGCCACGGUGAAUACGUUCCCGGGCCUUGUACACACCGCCCGUCACACCAUGGGAGUGGGUUGCAAAAGAAGUAGGUAGCUUAAUCUUCGGGAGGGCGCUUACCACUUUGUGAUUCAUGACUGGGGUGAAGUCGUAACAAGGUAACCGUAGGGGAACCUGCGGUUGGAUCACCUCCUUACCUUAAAGAA
rnacentral:rRNA from 1 species